rnacentral:rRNA from 1 species
GACGAACGCUGGCGGCGUGCCUAAUACAUGCAAGUCGAGCGAAGGAGGUUGGUACUUGUUCUAAUUGGAUGAGCAGCGAACGGGUGAGUAACGCGUGGGGAACCUGCCUUUGAGCGGGGGACAACAUUUGGAAACGAAUGCUAAUACCGCAUAAAAACUUUAAACACAAGUUUUAAGAUUGAAAGAUGCUCUUGCAUUACUUAAUGAUGAUCUCCCGGUGUAUUAGCCAGUUGGUGAGGUAAAGGCUCAACAAGGCGAUGAUACAUAGCCGACCUGAGAGGGGGGUCGGCCACAAAUGGACUGGGACACGGCCCAAACUCCUACGGGAAGCAGCAGUAAGGAAUCUUCGGCAAUUGACGGAAGGCUGACCGGGCAACGCCGCGGGAGUGAAGAAAGGUUUCGGAUCGUAAAACUCUGUUGGUAGGGAAGAACGUUAGGGAGAGGGGAAAGCGCAUCAAGUGACGGUAACUACCCAGAAAGGGACGGCUAACUACGUG